CACCGAGACCCACACAUGGAUGACCCCAAUCACUCAGUACUUGGAGCAUGGGACAUGCCAGCCGGGGGAAGAGAAGAAUAUCAGACGGCAAUGCGCCCGGUACACCAUGGUCGGUCAGGAUCUAUACCGAAGGGGGUACUCUACGCCACUCCUAAAGUGCCUCACCAAGGAACAAUCCCAAUAUGUGCUGCAAGAGAUCCACGAAGGGGCGUGCGGGAGCCACUCCGGAGCCCGAACGAUGGCAGCCAAAAUA
rnacentral:lncRNA from 1 species